rnacentral:rRNA from 1 species
ACGGGUGAGUAACACGUGGGUAACCUGCCCAUCAGAAGGGGAUAACACUUGGAAACAGGUGCUAAUACCGUAUAACACUAUUUUCCGCAUGGAAGAAAGUUGAAAGGCGCUUUUGCGCCACUGAUGGAUGGACCCGCGGUGCAUUAGCUAGUUGGUGAGGUAACGGCUCACCAAGGCCACGAUGCAUAGCCGACCUGAGAGGGUGAUCGGCCACACUGGGACUGAGACACGGCCCAGACUCCUACGGGAGGCAGCAGUAGGGAAUCUUCGGCAAUGGACGAAAGUCUGACCGAGCAACGCCGCGUGAGUGAAGAAGGUUUUCGGAUCGUAAAACUCUGUUGUUAGAGAAGAACAAGGAUGAGAGUAAAACGUUCAUCCCUUGACGGUAUCUAACCAGAAAGCCACGGCUAACUACGUGCCAGCAGCCGCGGUAAUACGUAGGUGGCAAGCGUUGUCCGGAUUUAUUGGGCGUAAAGCGAGCGCAGGCGGUUUCUUAAGUCUGAUGUGAAAGCCCCCGGCUCAACCGGGGAGGGUCAUUGGAAACUGGGAGACUUGAGUGCAGAAGAGGAGAGUGGAAUUCCAUGUGUAGCGGUGAAAUGCGUAGAUAUAUGGAGGAACACCAAUGGCGAAGGCGGCUCUCUGGUCUGUAACUGACGCUGAGGCUCGAAAGCGUGGGGAGCGAACAGGAUUAGAUACCCUGGUAGUCCACGCCGUAAA